rnacentral:rRNA from 1 species
UACGUAGGUGGCAAGCGUUGUCCGGAUUUAUUGGGUUUAAAGGGUGUGUAGGCGGUUGUUUAAGUUUGGUGUGAAAUCUCCCGGCCCAACUGGGAGGGUGCGCCGAAUACUGAAUGACUAGAGUACGGGAGAGGAAAGUGGAAUUCCUGGUGUAGCGGUGAAAUGCGUAGAUAUCAGGAGGAACACCGGUGGUGUAGACGGCUUUCUGGACCGUAACUGACGCUGAAACACGAAAGCGUGGGUAGCAAACAGG